rnacentral:rRNA from 1 species
GACGAACGCUGGCGGCGUGCUUAACACAUGCAAGUCGAACGGAAAGGCCCUGCUUUUGUGGGGUGCUCGAGUGGCGAACGGGUGAGUAACACGUGAGUAACCUGCCCUUGACUUUGGGAUAACUUCAGGAAACUGGGGCUAAUACCGGAUAGGAGCUCCUGCUGCAUGGUGGGGGUUGGAAAGUUUCGGCGGUUGGGGAUGGACUCGCGGCUUAUCAGCUUGUUGGUGGGGUAGUGGCUUACCAAGGCUUUGACGGGUAGCCGGCCUGAGAGGGUGACCGGCCACAUUGGGACUGAGAUACGGCCCAGACUCCUACGGGAGGCAGCAGUGGGGAAUAUUGCACAAUGGGCGGAAGCCUGAUGCAGCAACGCCGCGUGCGGGAUGACGGCCUUCGGGUUGUAAACCGCUUUCGCCUGUGACGAAGCGUGAGUGACGGUAAUGGGUAAAGAAGCACCGGCUAACUACGUGCCAGCAGCCGCGGUGAUACGUAGGGUGCGAGCGUUGUCCGGAUUUAUUGGGCGUAAAGGGCUCGUAGGUGGUUGAUCGCGUCGGAAGUGUAAUCUUGGGGCUUAACCCUGAGCGUGCUUUCGAUACGGGUUGACUUGAGGAAGGUAGGGGAGAAUGGAAUUCCUGGUGGAGCGGUGGAAUGCGCAGAUAUCAGGAGGAACACCAGUGGCGAAGGCGGUUCUCUGGGCCUUUCCUGACGCUGAGGAGCGAAAGCGUGGGGAGCGAACAGGCUUAGAUACCCUGGUAGUCCACGCUGUAAACGGUGGGUACUGGGUGUGGGGUCCAUUCCACGGGUUCCGUGCCGUAGCUAACGCUUUAAGUACCCCGCCUGGGGAGUACGGCCGCAAGGCUAAAACUCAAAGGAAUUGACGGGGCCCCGCACAAGCGGCGGAGCAUGCGGAUUAAUUCGAUGCAACGCGUAGAACCUUACCUGGGUUUGACAUGGAUCGGGAGUGCUCAGAGAUGGGUGUGCCUCUUUUGGGGUCGGUUCACAGGUGGUGCAUGGCUGUCGUCAGCUCGUGUCGUGAGAUGUUGGGUUAAGUCCCGCAACGAGCGCAACCCUUGUUCACUGUUGCCAGCACGUUAUGGUGGGGACUCAGUGGAGACCGCCGGGGUCAACUCGGAGGAAGGUGGGGAUGACGUCAAGCCAUCAUGCCCCUUAUGUCCAGGGCUUCACGCAUGCUACAAUGGCUGGUACAGAGAGUGGCGAGCCUGUGAGGGUGAGCGAAUCUCGGAAAGCCGGUCUCAGUUCGGAUUGGGGUCUGCAACUCGACCUCAUGAAGUCGGAGUCGCUAGUAAUCGCAGAUCAGCAACGCUGCGGUGAAUACGUUCCCGGG